UCCGCAAGCAAAACCCUACCCUAAAGCCCUGAACUCUGUCGAAUUGAAGAAAAAAAAAAUUCCUAAUCGAAAGAUCGUAAACGCCAAUGUCCGCCGCCAGAUCCGUCUUCCGCUCCGCCGCAAGCCGGGCAUCCGCCGCCGCGUUUAGAUUUUCCGCCGGACCCAAGCCCAUGCCGGCAUCGCCACGGUCCGCUUUUCGGAUGCCUAAACAGAGCCCUCUUUCGAACCGCAUUUUCAGAUCUCCGGUAGAAUUGAGCUGUUGCGUGGAGACGAUGCUCCCUUACCACACGGCUACUGCUUCCGCUUUGCUCAAUUCGAUGCUCUCGGCUUCACGCCGUGGUUGGAUCGUUGAAGGUCUAGACGAGACUAGAUGAAGAUCAAUCAACAAGAGUGAUAUUGCAAUGAUGAUGUAUGAUGAAUUACUGGGGAGAGGUCAACGAUGCACGCAGCCUAAGACAAGAUGGAUGAUGUUCUCACCAUUGCAGUAAUCCGGAAGGUUUUGUUUAAGAGUUAAAAAGACCACUUGUGUUGAUUCUUAAACCAUAAGAGGUGUUAGUGCAAAUGUUUUUGCUAUUUUUACAUUAUAAAAUAUCCAAGCGAAUCGUUGAAUCAAAAAUUUCCUUACAUCCAA